CAUCUGAGCAGACCUGCAUCUGGUGCCCCCGAAUAGCUCAAGGCUCUAGGGUUACAGAAAAGCAUGAAGCGGAAGGAAUCGCCCCCAUUUCACAGACACAGAGACCGAGGCUCGGAGAGAUGAGCAUGAUUUCUGUGCAGAGGGAGGUCCCACGCCAUGCUAAGCCAGGGAAUGAUGAGCGAAGUUCACACAUCCCUCGGCAGCAGCCAACAAACGCCUGCUCUUGCACGUGCCUGCUUCUCUAAGUGCUGACGGAUCUCAUCAACAGCGAGUCCUCACCCUCACUCUGUGGGUGGCACACCCAAGGGGCAGAUGAAACCUAGCCACUGGACCACUUGGGAGCAGGCAGAAGGACCCAGGUCCCUAGUGCGCCUUCCUCUGCCUGACCACUUCGCCAAGCCCUCCUGGAGCCAAUGGCUGCCCAGAUGCCCCUACCUAAAACGGGGACCUGUGGGAGCUGGUGAGACACACAGCGCCCCUGCUCCCACCUGUCAGCUAGAGGCAGAAGGCAAUCGGGCCCAAAGGCAGAGCUGGGGCUGGAAACCAAAAUCCAUGCCUGCCCUAGCCUGCCUGUGGCUCCCUAGAAAGACCAUCAGCCUUUCUGAGACUCAAUUUCCCCCUCGUAGAAAUUGGAGCACCUCUCCGUAUCUGAUCUGUGCCCCAGCAAGGAGAGCAGGCUCAAGAGAACACCAAGGCUCUUCUCUGCCUGCUACAGAUGAGGAAACUGAGGCCCAGGGAGAAGCUAGAGACACCCAAGUCUGUCUGGAGGGGUAGGACAAAAUGAGCCCUUGGAAGUCAUGUGCCGCUGCCCAGAUGACGAGGAGAGGGACUGAGGAACAUCUGCCUCCCACACCAGCUCUUCUGGGAAACAGAAGCGGGGAGGCACGAGCACAGUGAUCACCCCAGUCCCCUCCUGAGCAGCUAACUACUAAGCCUCCCUGAACCUUUGCUCGGCCUCACCUCGAAAUGUGUGCAGCUGAGCUGACCCGGAGUUUGCUGUAUGGAUGUACCAUGGGUCUUUUGUCUGUUCAUCCCUGGACAGACAGACAGACGGUCAGGCUGUUUGCAGCUUUUGGCCAGUGUAUCAGAAAGUGCACAAUCCAAGAAGCCACGGCCCGCUGGCUCCAAGCCCAGCGUGUGUGAAGCUGUGAGAACCGAGGCCCAGCUCAGCCCUGAUCGCUGUGUUGUGCUUGGACCGGUGCAGUAGACACCUGGCUACCCCGUCUCUGCCUCUGCUCCUUCCCAGAAUGCUCACAGCCAGGAAGAUGGUUCCCAAAUGCAUGCAAAGCUCCCCUCGGCUCCCUAGCUAAAAUCCGCAGGUGGCUUGUCUUCUGUGAAGCCCUGCUGUACCCCCGAAUCCCCUGCUGCUUCUACCCUAACCCAGCCCAGCACUUAGCAUGCUCGCUGAGCUCAGCGGACUCAUCUAUAUCUUGCCCUUGACAGCGAGCGAGCAUUCUGAGGUUGGAGAUGGACAGAUUCAUGUCUCCUCCUGAAUACUGGAGUUUCUCAACAGAUAAGUGCAUCUCAUAGAUGAAGAAACUGGGGCUCAGAGAGUGAAUUAACCUGCCUAAGGACGCAGAGUUAGAAAGAAAGUCACGAGAAGCCGUUGGACUAAGUCGGUGCAUAUGGGAAAGAGUGUAACAGCUAGUACGUGGAUUCCCUUCCUGCCUGAACACCCCUGGUCCAGCCCAAGCCCUGCUGCUAAUUUGCUGUGUUACCCGAGUGAAGACCGUUGUCCUCUCGGAGCCUAGGUCUCCAGCCCUGGAUCUGGAAUAGCAGGUCCCUGUUCCCACCCUCUCUGCAGGCUGGGAUUGGAGUUGUUUCUGGCUGUCCUUCCCUCCCCCUCCCCCAUCAGAUUCCUAAAGGCCCAGCGGGCCCCCUGGCCGCCCCUCCUGCCCACAGGUAAUUAGACUAAUGCAGGGGGUAGGGGGCAGGGAGCCCCAGCAGGCAGUUCCUUCCUGGAAAGGGGCCCCUCUGCGCUGUCCCCGGCCCCUGCUGCGGGAACAAAAGGCCUUGCGGACGUUCAAAGCCAGGCACUGGGCAGGAGGCCAGCGUGGGAGGCCAAAAGGGUGGCCGUGAGGCUCGUGGCUGGGAUGGCCGGCGACUGGAAGCUGUCCCCAUCCAUCAGUCAGCGGUGACAGCUCCCAGGGCCCGAGGCCCCCUGUGGCCCAGCCAGCUGACUGUCCUGUCCGCCCGCUGCAGCCUGAUGACCUGAAUAAUGGCUCCUCGGGUCGGUACGGGAGGCUGCCGUGACAGGCACAUCUCUGUCCCCGCUUUGCCUUCUCAGUCCUGUCCCCAGCCACUGGCACCCAUGUGCAGAGAGAGAUGUGACCCAUGUUUGGAAGAUGUGACCCCUCAUUUGAAAGGGGUGGUGGGUCCUGGGGCACAUCAUCCUGGGGGUCCAGGAGACGAUGGGAGUUUGGUCUUGCUGCCAACUCACUGGGUGACUCCGGACAAGUCUUGGACUCUCGUGGGCCUCAGUUUCCCCUUUGUGAAAAAAGUGUCCUCUGCAAACUCUCAUAUACAGUGGGUAAUGCUGUUUCUGGGCAGAGAGGGAGAGGCAGGAUGACCUGGUUUGGGGCAGAUCUAGUUCCAAAUCCCUUCUCUGCUUGGCCUUGCUGUGUGACCCUGGUUAAGUUACCUAAUAAUGUCUCUGAGCUGUCUCCUCCUCUUUGCUUAUACAAUGAAGAUCAAUCCCACCAGGAGAUCAUUGUGAGGACAACAUGAACGCUUAUUUGUAAAGGACUAAAGCCCAGGAGCCGGCACAGUAAAAGGGCUUUGUCAAAGCAUAUACUACAAGGGGUAAUAGAAAGAUAUGAUGAACGCUUAUAUUUUUAAAAACUUAUUCCAGUUAAAGCUACAUUGCCAAGUAAUGCUACAUUGAUGCGUUAAGUUCAGUGGAAGCGUGCCGGGCUAUUUUGAGUGUUUUGAGGAGGAUGGAUGCCAGUGUGUCCUUUACUGUAAUACGUGCUUUAAACAUUCACUGUAGUUUUUGAUCAUAUCUCAUUAAUCAAACAUUUAUGGCAAUUUCUGUCAAAUAAAAGCAUUAUAGUGUGUCCUCA